rnacentral:rRNA from 1 species
GAUGAACGCUGGCGGCGUGCCUAAUACAUGCAAGUCGAGCGAACAGACGAGGAGCUUGCUCCUCUGACGUUAGCGGCGGACGGGUGAGUAACACGUGGAUAACCUACCUAUAAUACUGGGAUAACUUCGGGAAACCGGAGCUAAUACCGGAUAAUAUAUUGAACCGCAUGGUUCAAUAGUGAAAGACGGUUUUGCUGUCACUUAUAGAUGGAUCCGCGCCGCAUUAGCUAGUUGGUAAGGUAACGGCUUACCAAGGCAACGAUGCGUAGCCGACCUGAGAGGGUGAUCGGCCACACUGGAACUGAGACACGGUCCAGACUCCUACGGGAGGCAGCAGUAGGGAAUCUUCCGCAAUGGGCGCAAGCCUGACGGAGCAACGCCGCGUGAGUGAUGAAGGUCUUCGGAUCGUAAAACUCUGUUAUUAGGGAAGAACAAAUGUGUAAGUAACUAUGCACGUCUUGACGGUACCUAAUCAGAAAGCCACGGCUAACUACGUG